CUGUUUUUAGUUUAUAAAAAAUAUUUGUUUUGGGGACAAAAGAGUUGAGUUAAUUCAAAUAACAGA
rnacentral:tRNA from 1 species